AGUCAUCAUGGCCUUUAUGCCUAGGGCCACACACCGUGCAACAAUGGCCGGUACAGACGGAGGCAAUGCCGAGAGGCGGAGCAAACCCGAGAAAACCGGUCCCAGUUCGGAUUGAGGUCUGCAACUCGACCUCAUGAAGUCGGAAUCGCUAGUAAUCGCAUAUCAGAACGAUGCGGUGAAUACGUUCCCGGGCCUUGUACACACCGCCCGUCACACCACGAAAGUUUGUUGUACCCGAAGUCGGUGCCUUAACCUCGCAAGAGGAGAGAGCCGCCCAAGGUAUGGCCGAUGAUUGGGGUGAAGUCGUAACAAGGUAGCCGUAGGGGAACCUGCGGCUGGAUCACCUCCUUUCUAGGAGAGAAGGGUCCUGGAUGAAGCGCUCCUAUUUAGUCUUGUGAAGGAUCCGAGUGGAAG
rnacentral:rRNA from 1 species